rnacentral:siRNA from 1 species
CAGGGAUCGAAACAGCUGCUCGG